rnacentral:lncRNA from 1 species
AUGCAAAGGUUCACUUUAGAAUAUUCAAGAAGGGAUCCAGGCAUUAGAUUGGGCUGGAAACUUGGUCUCCUACAGAAAGAACUAUCUUCCCGGCUUUCUCUGGAAAUGAGUGGAGGGAAUGAAGAGGUACUAUUAGCCCUUAUUUUAUUGGUUUGGUUUCAAGUCUCUGAGAUGUCCAAUGUUGAUCAGACGUAUGGUGGAGGUGCUACUCAUAUAGAUGCAUUUUCAAGGAGAGUGAGGUUUAAAAAAUACUAAAAACAUCUGGAACAACCACAGUGGGGUCCAUAUUUUUAUGUUUACAUUUAAGUCUCACAUGCCGGGGCUAAAAGUUCUUCAUUAUUGUAAAUAAUAAAAAUUACAGCUAACAUUCCUGAACACUUACUAGGUGCCAGGCCCAUCCCUAAGUGUUCAUAUAUGUUAACUCAUUUAAUGCUUACAACACAUACUUGAGGUAAGUACUAUUGUUAUUAGCAUUUUGCAGGUGAAGAUACUGAGGGACAGAGAGGUUGAGGAUUUAUUUAUCUCUGCAUUUUACCAGUGCCAUACAUACCACACACCUAAUAUUUCCUGAAUCAAAUUUUGCAUGCAGAUUUAUUAAUAUUUUCUAGCAGAAGUCAUUUGCAUUUUUUUUUUUUCAGUGAAAAGAACUUUCGAGAAUCUGUUUAGAGGAAAAACAUUUACAGCUGCCUUGUUACCCUUGCUUAUAUUUAUAUGUGGUGUUUUGAUUUCUGCAAGACCAUAAGAAUUAGUAAUCACAAAUAACAUUUCAAAUAACCGUUUAAGUACCAUUUUAGGUAAGGAUAGAAACAUUACAUGAGAUUUUCAGUUCUGGAAAUCAGUCUGACAAAUGAAUAUAGAUUGUUUUUAAUAAAUCAUUUAUAUUUGGCUUAAAAAGCAUUAUUGUGGAUUUUUUUUCUCUAAUGAUUUGAUUCCUAAUCGUGUUUACCUCAGGACAAUAUCAUAAUUGCUUGUAUUUUCCAAACAUACACCAGCUGAUGAGAGGCAAGGAGGGACAUUAUUGGACAGUUCUGUAAAUGCCAGUAGGCCAGUUUGGGGUUAAUGGUGAAUCUCUGACUCCUCCACGGAGUGGAAAAUCUCUGUGGGAACAUCCUUCAGUGGAUUGCAUGCCAGUGGUAAAAUGCGUGAAGCACAGAGGGGAAGCCAAGCAGCGAAAGAGGCAGCAGGAAAGACAUAAACAGCAGAGAACAUGGGGAAUAUAACACAGAGUAGCCAUUAGAGGAGAUUGGUCAGGGAGGCCAAAUGAAGAUGGUAGUAAAAUUUUAUCUUCCUCAAUAGGCUAUUUUGCAAUGGUACUUUGUAUAUUAAAUGAUUUGCUGAAAAAGCAGAUACCACAUUUUGAUGUUCUGUGUCGGUUAUAGAAAACUAUAACACGGGGAAAAUAUUGUUCCCAAGGAUAAGGUAAUAUCAUUGUAUGUUUAUUUGCUAUAUUUUAAAUUUUAAAGGGCCAGGCUCAUGAAAUGAAUUAUGCUUGGAUUAAAUGCUUUUCUAAAUGCCAAAGUGAUAAUGGCCUAUUUCUAUUUCUUCCUCAUUGUGCCUCAGUUUGAUAACAGAAAUCUGAACAUGACUAUAAUCUCAUCAGACUUGUUUCUUUAAUAAAAGAUGUUACCCAAAGGAUUCAUUCAUGCAACAAACACUUAUGGAACAGUAACCAUGGACAUGAAAACAGUCUAGGAGGAGAGAGAAACAGUAAAAAACAAUUAUACAGAUCACCCUAAAAUUACAAUCAUUUCAAAUGCCACAAAGAAAAAGAAAAAUUAGGGUGUUUCUCAGAGUGUGGUAUAGAAGGACCUGAUCUAGACAGGUGUGUGUUGGGAUAGGAAGGAGGGUAGAGAGAAAGUCUCCCUGAGUAAGUUAUACUUAAGGAGAUGAAGAAUAGUGAGGAAUUGGCAGAGUGAAGGCAGUGAUGGGAAAAGUCAGGUGCACAUGAUUGAUCUUACUCUAUUCUUUAUAGUAACUGGUUUUGUGUCUAUGAAGUUAGUACAAAAGAAGCUUAGUUAACAAUGUCUGGUGUGGCCAGGUGGAAGAAUGCAAUGGAAAUAUGAAAACAUUACAAAGUGACAAUAGGGUACUGGAUUGUCACAAUGUUUGUCUUCUAAAAUACCCUCUUGUAUCCUGGCAAACAAAGAUGUGUGGUAGAAUUAUCGAAAUAGAGGUGGAUAGUUUGCCUACUUUUUGUCUUUGAAGCUUCCAGAAGAUGGAUGAAGAGUCUGUAAAUUUGGAAGAGGCAGAAGAUAGCAAUGAGGUAAUGCUGAUUGCUCUCCUCAUGGUAGUACAGUUACCACAAGCUAAUGUGGACUUCUUGCUGGACAGACUGGGUAAUGCAUGAAAUGCCUUCUAAGGAUGUGGAUAUAAAAAACUCAGAUGGCAGACAUAUAAAAACCCACUUCUAAAGACAUUCUGAGGGGAAUUCAGUGCUGCUCUCAGAGCAAGCGUUUUACAUCUACUCAAUUUAAAACUAUGUGUUAUGGAUAAUUUUAGAUAUUUAUUUUUUAUUUCAAUAUGAGGAAGAGGAAACUCAAAUGACUUUUUCUGUGCUGAUGCUGGAUUCUGUAUAUAGCCUCAGAAUGAGUCUGACAUUAAAAGUAAAAAUGAGUUAAAUUCUCAUAUCUUUUUUUUUGGAAAAAACAUAACCCAAACCCCAAACUGUGUGGGAGGAAGAGGCAGUGCUCUGUCUGGGAGAUCUGAGGGGAAAACUUUCAGAAUGCUCACAGCCCACAUGAUCACAUGGUGUAAAUUCUUGGGGAGGGAAUUCUUUGGCAGCCUAACUAUAUAAUUUUCCUCAGAGCAGAAGACUUUAUGUUAAAGUUUUAAAAUCACAGUAAGAUUUAAAGAAUUGCUCUUUAAUUAAGAAAAUGGCUAGAUAUUUUCCUAUAGUUUCCUUUCAGAAAAUAGGUUUCUUAACAAUUUAAUGCAAUGGUUGGAGUAAUGACAGAAAAGCACAGACUCACCGCACACUCAUUUAGGAACAUGUGUGUUUGUUUAGGUGUGAACCCCAAUUAGGAAUAUGCAUUAAAUUAUUCUAUUUUCAUGCAAUUAGGUGGAUUAAAUGAUCAGAUCCCACAAGGAUAGUUCUGUUAAAAUCAUGGCUAGAUUGACAGUUCUCAAGUUCAGAUAUCUCCCCUUGAAAUUGAAGUAACCAAAUGUAAUAGUUCCUCUGCCAACUCUUGAUUUUUAGUGUGUAAAUUAUGCAUGAAUGUUACAUUGACUGCCAAGGGUCAAUAACAACACAUCAUCGGGGGCCCAGAUGGUUUGAGUUCUGCUGUGUGCCAGCUUGAUGCUGAAGGAGAUAUAAAAAGUUUAAUAAUGGUCAUAGUUAAUGUUUAUUGAGCAUUCUCUAUAUGUCAAGCAAUAUUCUAAGUGCUUUCAUGUUUUAUCUCACUGACUCCUCAAGACAACUCUUUGAAAUCUGUGUUAUUCUUUUCCCCAUUUUACAAAUUAGAGAAAAGGAAUGUUGCAAAAAUUGGCUGAAGCUUGUAAUUGUGCUCAGGCUAGCAAACCACAAAUGUGCUAUAUGAGAAGGGAAAACACACUUUACGGAUUCUUUUAUUUUCAAGACAUACCUAAUUAAAAAAUUUAACCUAAUUUGUCCCCAUUCAAGGGUUUAUUUUUUCUUAGUUAAACAAAAUUUAGUGCUAUUAGAAACUAAACUUUAUUGGUCAACACUUGUGGAGCAGUCCAGGAGUUUACUUUGUUUUCUUGACUCGAUGUUGUGAGUUUGUAAGAAAGUAAUACUUUUUGUUUUUCCUUUUCUUAUCUCCCAUGGUGAGAAAUCACAAAUAGAUUUUCCAAAUCCCCUUAUAGGCAGAUGGUAUGCAGCAGCAUGUCUCAGAUGCAUUCGACAGUCAACUCCCUCCAUCUUUUGGGGGAGAAUUUUGUGCAGUAAAUAUUU